GGCCGACUAGCUCAGUUGGUUAGAGCGUGGUGCUAAUACAUGGUGAAAUGAUAGGCUCAAUCCUCAUCUAUUGGGCUUAUUGUUUCGCUGUUACGCCAAGGUCUUGGGUUCGAUCCCCACGUUGGCCA